rnacentral:rRNA from 1 species
AUGGACCAAUCCAUCCCUUUUUCCCGUGCAUAUGCAUCGGACUCCGAUGACGAUGGUCCCGAUGAAGAAGUUGAUGAGGAGGGGUUCACACCCAAGGAGGCCCAAGCAUUUAAGAAGGUAUUCGGGCGGGAUCGCAAGACACCAUUGUUCAAGGAUCUUAGUCUCGCGGAUGAAGCCGUUGUAGAUGGUGGAAAAUGUAUACCUCUUGGAGCUAGGCCAAGUUCUCAGCGUGAUUUGGAAGACGGCAAGAACGGGAUAUAUCCCGGUUGUGAUUUUGAAUCCUUCUUGGAAUUGAAGAUGUGGCUCGACAACUACUCGGUUACGCAUUAUCGUCCACAUAGAGUGGCCAACUCGGACGUCAAUGUGCGUUACACGGUUAAAUGUGAAGUGCCAAGAUGUCCAUGGAUUGUGCAUGCAAGGCCAUAG